GACGAACGCUGGCGGCGUGCUUAACACAUGCAAGUCGAACGGAAAGGCCCUGCUUUUGUGGGGUGCUCGAGUGGCGAACGGGUGAGUAACACGUGAGUAACCUGCCCUUGACUUUGGGAUAACUUCAGGAAACUGGGGCUAAUACCGGAUAGGAUCUCCUGCUGCAUGGUGGGGGUUGGAAAGUUUCGGCGGUUGGGGAUGGACUCGCGGCUUAUCAGCUUGUUGGUGGGGUAGUGGCUUACCAAGGCUUUGACGGGUAGCCGGCCUGAGAGGGUGACCGGCCACAUUGGGACUGAGAUACGGCCCAGACUCCUACGGGAGGCAGCAGUGGAGAAUAUUGCACAAUAAGCGGAAGCCUGAUGCAGCAACGCCGCGUGCGGGAUGACGGCCUUCGGGUUGUAAACCGCUUUCGCCUGUGACGAAGCGUGAGUGACGGUAAUGGGUAAAGAAGCACCGGCUAACUACGUG
rnacentral:rRNA from 1 species